AUGGACUACUCGGGUUUCUAAUCCUGUUUGCUCCCCACGCUUUCGCGCCUCAGCGUCAGUUCCGGUCCAGUGAGCCGCCUUCGCCACUGGUGUUCCUCCCAAUAUCUACGCAUUUCACCGCUACACUGGGAAUUCCACUCACCUCUCCCGGUUUCAAGCCAUCCAGUCUGACAGGCAGUUCCUCGGUUAAGCCGAGGGCUUUCACCCGUCACUUGAAUGGCCGCCUACGCGCCCUUUACGCCCAAUAAUUCCGAAUAACGCUUGCCCCCUCUGUCUUACCGCGGCUGCUGGCACA
rnacentral:misc_RNA from 1 species